rnacentral:tRNA from 1 species
GCCUGGCUGGCUCAGUCAGUAGAGCAUAUGACUCUUGAUCUCUGGGUGUGAGUUCGAGCCUUACGCUGGGUG